rnacentral:piRNA from 1 species
UCUGGCUGCCUUUGGAUCAAGAUGUAGA